GCCGUAAACGUUGGGCACUAGGUGUGGGGGACAUUCCACGUUCUCCGCGCCGUAGCUAACGCAUUAAGUGCCCCGCCUGGGGAGUACGGUCGCAAGGCUAAAACUCAAAGGAAUUGACGGGGGCCCGCACAAGCGGCGGAGCAUGCGGAUUAAUUCGAUGCAACGCGAAGAACCUUACCAAGGCUUGACAUACACUGGACCGUUCUGGAAACAGUUCUUCUCUUUGGAGCUGGUGUACAGGUGGUGCAUGGUUGUCGUCAGCUCGUGUCGUGAGAUGUUGGGUUAAGUCCCGCAACGAGCGCAACCCUCGUUCUAUGUUGCCAGCACGUGAUGGUGGGAACUCAUAGGAGACUGCCGGGGUCAACUCGGAGGAAGGUGGGGAUGACGUCAAAUCAUCAUGCCCUUUAUGUCUUGGGCUUCACGCAUGCUACAAUGGCUGGUACAGAGAGAGGCGAACCCGUGAGGGUAAGCGAAUCCCUUAAAGCCAGUCUCAGUUCGGAUCGUAGUCUGCAAUUCGACUACGUGAAGUCGGAGUCGCUAGUAAUCGCAGAUCAGCAACG
rnacentral:rRNA from 1 species